rnacentral:rRNA from 1 species
UACAUGCAAGUCGUGGGGCAGCGCAGGUAGCAAUACUGGGCGGCGACCGGCAAACGGGUGCGGAACACGUACACAACCUUCCUUCAAGUGGGGAAUAGCCCAGAGAAAUUUGGAUUAAUACCCCGUAACAUAACGAUGUGGCAUCACAUUGUUAUUAUAGCUUCGGCGCUUGUUGAUGGGUGUGCGGCUGAUUAGAUAGUUGGCGGGGUAACGGCCCACCAAGUCUACGAUCAGUAGCUGAUGUGAGAGCAUGAUCAGCCACACGGGCACUGAGACACGGGCCCGACUCCUACGGGAGGCAGCAGUAAGGAAUAUUGGUCAAUGGACGAAAGUCUGAACCAGCCAUGCCGCGUGAAGGAUUAAGGUCCUCUGGAUUGUAAACUUCUUUUAUCUGGGACGAAAAAAGGCGAUUCUUCGUCACUUGACGGUACCAGAUGAAUAAGCACCGGCUAACUCCGUGCCAGCAGCCGCGGUAAUACGGAGGGUGCAAGCGUUAUCCGGAUUCACUGGGUUUAAAGGGUGCGUAGGCGGGCAGGUAAGUCAGUGGUGAAAUCCUAGAGCUUAACUCUAGAACUGCCAUUGAUACUAUCUGUCUUGAAUAUUGUGGAGGUUAGCGGAAUAUGUCAUGUAGCGGUGAAAUGCUUAGAUAUGACAUAGAACACCUAUUGCGAAGGCAGCUAACUACGCAUAUAUUGACGCUGAGGCACGAAAGCGUGGGGAUCAAACAGGAUUAGAUACCCUGGUAGUCCACGCCCUAAACGAUGAUUACUCGACAUUUGUGAUACACUAUAAGUG